rnacentral:misc_RNA from 1 species
UCUCGGAUUACAAAUCGAUUC